GAUGAACGCUGGCGGCGUGCCUAACACAUGCAAGUCGAACGAAGCUUGACGGAUGAUUUCUUCGGAAUGAAACCAGGUAUGACUUAGUGGCGGACGGGUGAGUAACACGUGAGCAACCUGCCUUUCAGAGGGGGAUAACGGCUGGAAACGGUCGCUAAUACCGCAUGAUGUGUUCGGAUGGCAUCAUCUGAACAUCAAAGAUUUAUCGCUGAAAGAUGGGCUCGCGUCUGAUUAGAUAGUUGGUGGGGUAACGGCCUACCAAGUCUACGAUCAGUAGCCGGACUGAGAGGUUGAACGGCCACAUUGGGACUGAGAUACGGCCCAGACUCCUACGGGAGGCAGCAGUGGGGAAUAUUGCACAAUGGGGGAAACCCUGAUGCAGCAACGCCGCGUGAAGGAUGACGGUUUUCGGAUUGUAAACUUCUUUUCUUAGUGACGAAGACAGUGACGGUAGCUAAGGAAUAAGCAUCGGCUAACUACGUG
rnacentral:rRNA from 1 species